rnacentral:lncRNA from 1 species
GUAGUUUCAAUUUAGGGUUUAUGUAAUGACCUAAUGUUAGUUGCUUUAAAUUGUGGUUAUAAGCAUUCUUUGUCGAUGUCGAAUUGUGCGUAUUGGCAGUGUUUUAGAUGUUUUGAUAUAACACGCGUUUGAAGUCAUUUGGAUAUUGAAACCUUUUUUGAGAUAGAAAGCGGAUCUUUUGGAAGUAAUGAUUAUAAUGGUGGAGGUACAAGACACGUUACUUUUUUUGAGGAUGUAUAUGAUUGGAUGAACUUUGUUGAGUGAGUUUUUGCAUCUUUUUAGUUGUAGCAAAGGACUAGGCGUUUGAAGUCAAUUGGAUAUUGGAACCUUUUUUGAGAUAGAAAGCGGAUCUUUUGGAAGUAAUGAUUAUAAUGGUGGAGGUACAAGAAACGUUACUUAUUUUGAGGUUUAGUUAUAUGUAUAUGAUUGGAUGAACUUUGUUGAGUGAGUUUUUGAAUCUUUUUAGUUGUAGCAAAGGACUAGGCUUGCACACUUUCUUUUCAGUUCGCACUUCAGCUGUUGUGUAUGAGAUUUGGAACUUGCCAUUCUUGCAUGGACUACGAGUCUGCGAUGCCUUUCUUUCUUUGUAGUUAAAUUAAGUCAUAAAAAGUUUGCAUAUUU